CUUACAAGAACCAACAGAAAGUAAAUGCAAAAAUAAAAACUCACUUUUUACGAAUACAGAAGUCACACCUAUGUAGAUGCAUCUGUGAAGAUGCAUUUAAACUUUCCUUGUUUUCCUCGUUCACUAGGUGGUUGUAAAGUGACGCCCAGUGCUCUACGUGGUCACCCUUCUGAUCCCAAGCUCUUUCCUCAUGCUCAUUGACAUCCUGUCCUUCUACCUGCCUCCCCAUAGCGUCGACCGCGCCUCCUUCAAAAUGACCCUCAUCCUGGGCUACACAGUCUUCCUGCUCAUCAUACGACCUGCUGCCGAGUACGGCAAAUGGCACUCGCAUCAUAGGUAUCUAUUUCUCACUGUGUCUUGCCCUCAUGGUUAUCAGUCUACUGGAAACAGUCAUCAUUACCAACGUCCUCCACCAUAACUCCUUGAAAUAUCGGGAGGUUCCAAAGUGGGUUAGGGUUGUUGUGCUCAAACGUAUAGCAAACCUCAUCUGCUACCGCUGGCCAAAAGAUAUCCAGCCGCCUUCUACAUCACAGAAGGUUAAACCUGGAAACUCCAAUGUCAGUUCUGGUCCAUGGAUCAUUCAACCAGCCAGCUGGGCACCUGACCAGCACCCAGUUAGUAACGGUACAUCUGCUCUGCCUGAACUGCAACAGAUCUGUCAGUACCUUGCUGAACUUGGUGCCCACCUCCUCUCUCUGCAGAAGGAAAGCCAGCUGUUGCACCAGUGG